UACGUAGGGUGCAAGCGUUGUCCGGAAUUAUUGGGCGUAAAGAGCGUGUAGGCGGUUCGGUAAGUCUGUCGUGAAAUCCUGAGGCUCAACCUCGGGCGUGCGAUGGAUACUGCCGGGCUAGAGGAUGGUAGAGGAGAGUGGAAUUCCUGGUGUAGCGGUGAAAUGCGCAGAUAUCAGGAAGAACACCCGUGGCGAAAGCGGCUCUCUGGAACGGUACUGACGCUGAGACGCGAAAGCGUGGGGAGCGAACAGG
rnacentral:rRNA from 1 species